rnacentral:rRNA from 1 species
AGUCCAUGCCGUAAACGUUGGGCACUAGUGUGGGGACAUUCCACGUUUUCCGCGCCGUAGCUAACGCAUUAAGUGCCCCGCCUGGGGAGUACGGCCGCAAGGCUAAAACUCAAAGGAAUUGACGGGGGCCCGCACAAGCGGCGGAGCAUGCGGAUUAAUUCGAUGCAACGCGAAGAACCUUACCAAGGCUUGACAUGGACUGGAAAUACCUGGAGACAGGUGCCCCGCUUGCGGCCGGUUCACAGGUGGUGCAUGGUUGUCGUCAGCUCGUGUCGUGAGAUGUUGGGUUAAGUCCCGCAACGAGCGCAACCCUCGUUCUAUGUUGCCAGCGCGUGAUGGCGGGGACUCAUAGGAGACUGCCGGGGUCAACUCGGAGGAAGGUGGGGACGACGUCAAAUCAUCAUGCCCCUUAUGUCUUGGGCUUCACGCAUGCUACAAUGGCCGGUACAAAGGGUUGCGAUACUGUGAGGUGGAGCUAAUCCCAAAAAGCCGGUCUCAGUUCGGAUUGGGGUCUGCAACUCGACCCCAUGAAGUCGGAGUCGCUAGUAAUCGCAGAUCAGCAACGCUGCGGUGAAUACGUUCCCGGGCCUUGUACACACCGCCCGUCAAGUCACGAAAGUUGGUAACACCCGAAGCCGGUGGCCUAACCCCUUGUGGGAGGGAGCUGUCGAAGGUGGGAUCUG